rnacentral:rRNA from 1 species
UGGUGGGUUGCCUUGUCAGGUUGAUUCCGGUAACGAACGAGACCUCAGCCUGCUAAAUAGCUAGGGUCGCAUCUGCGGCUCGCCAGCUUCUUAGAGGGACUAUUGGCGUUCAGCCAAUGGAAGUGUGAGGCGAUAACA